rnacentral:lncRNA from 1 species
CUCAAGUUGACAACAAUUUCAUUGAAUCAUUUAAUGCAUGAAUUUUGGAGGCAAGCCAAAUGCAAAUCAUCAGUCUAACUUUCAUGAAGCUAUACAAUUCUUACAGAGAAAUACUCUUGGUUUUCAAUAGAAAAUUUGGCUAUGAAAUCAGGUAAUCUUGAGACAAAAGAUGCACUUGUAAACUUUUGGGACUUAUGUGGGAUCUCA